GCCUUGGCUCUCGGAGGCGAUGAAGGACGUGAUAAGCUGCGAUAAGCUUCGGGUAGGUGCAAAUAACCUUUGAUCCGAAGAUUUCCGAAUGGGACAACCCGUCAUUCUGAAGGAAUGACAUCUUGCAUAGCAAGAGGCUAACGCAGGGAACUGAAACAUCUUAGUACCUGUAGGAAAAGAAAAUAAUAAUGAUUCCCCUAGUAGUGGCGAGCGAACGGGGAUUAGCCCAAACCAAUGUUGUUACGGCAAUAUUGGGGUUGUAGGACCACGAUGUCGCAAGAAGUUUAGUGAGAAGAACCCUUUGGAAAAUGGGACCAUAGACGGUGAUAGUCCGGUAUUCGAAGCUAAAUGAAGCGUAGUGGUAUCCUGAGUAGCGCGGGACACGAGGAAUCUUGCGUGAAUCUGCCGGGACCAUCCGGUAAGGCUAAAUACUCCCGAGAGACCGAUAGCGAACCAGUACUGUGAAGGAAAGGUGAAAAGCACUUCGAAUAGAAGAGUGAAAUAGUCCCUGAAACCGUGCGCCUACAAGCGGUCGGAGCUGCUUCAGCAGUGACGGCGUGCCUUUUGCAUAAUGAACCUACGAGUUACUUUUUCCGGCAAGGUUAAGGAUCUUGAGAUCCGCAGCCGAAGCGAAAGCGAGUCUUAACAGGGCGAUUAGUCGGAAGGAGUAGACGCGAAACCAAGUGAUCUACCCUUGGUCAGGUUGAAGGUUAGGUAACACUAACUGGAGGACCGAACCGAUAAGCGUUGAAAAGCUUCCGGAUGAACUGAGGGUGGGGGUGAAAGGCUAAUCAAACUUGGAGAUAGCUCGUACUCCCCGAAAUGCAUUUAGGUGCAGCCUUGGGAAUUACUACUGUGAGGUAGAGCGACUGAUAAGAUGCGAGGGCUUCACCGCCUAUCAAGUCUUGAUAAACUCCGAAUGCGCAGUAGUUCGAUCCCAGGAGUGAGGGCAUGGGUGCUAAGGUCCAUGUCCUAAAGGAGAAGAAUCCGGACCAUCAGCUAAGGUCCCGAAAUAAUUGCUAAGUUGAACUAACGAAGUCAGAUUGCUAAGACAGCUAGGAUGUUGGCUUGGAAGCAGCCAUUCAUUUAAAGAGUGCGUAACAGCUCACUAGUCGAGGAGUUUGGCGUGGAUAAUAAUCGGGCAUCAAGUAUUCUACCGAAGCUUUGGGAUGUGUAAACAUCGGUAGGGGAGCAUUCCACUCGGCAUUGAAGGUGAGGCGUGAGCCUUGCUGGAGCGUGUGGAAAAGCAAAUGUAGGUAUAAGUAACGAUAAAGGGGGUGAGAAACCCCCUCGCCGAAAGACUAAGGUUUCCUGAUCAACGCUAAUCGGAUCAGGGUUAGUCGGGUCCUAAGGCUCAGCCGAACGGUGAGGCCGAUGGCAGAACAGGUUAAUAUUCCUGUACUACCUUAAGGAGUGACGUGGAGACGGAGGAGUGACAGCGCCGCGGACUGACGGAAUAGUCCGUUGAAGGGUGUAGAUGUUGAUUAUCCCAGGCAAAUCCGGGAUAAGAGUCGAACCUGAUAGUAUACCAAAUUCUUCGGAAUAAGGUAAUAGUGCGUGUAAGCAUACUCCCAAGAAAAUCCGCUAAACUUAAUCUUUAAGGUACCCGUACCGCAAACGGACACACGUAGUCGGGUUGAAUAUACUAAGGCGCUUGAGUGAUUCACGGUUAAGGAACUAGGCAAAUUGACCCUGUAACUUCGGGAUAAAGGGUCCCAACGAGAGUUGGGCGCAGAGAAUAGGUCCAGGCAACUGUUUAACAAAAACACAGGGCUGUGCCAAAUUGAAAGAUUACGUAUACAGCCUGACACCUGCCCGGUGCUGGAAGGUUAAGAGGAGAUGUCAUCGCAAGAGAAGCAUUGAAUUGAAGCCCCAGUAAACGGCGGCCGUAACUAUAACGGUCCUAAGGUAGCGAAAUUCCUUGUCGGGUAAGUUC
rnacentral:rRNA from 1 species